CAGGCCCUAUGGGCUGCACUGUCGACCUUCUACUCCAACCUCAAUAAUAAGAACACUGGGAAUUCCAAGAAGCUCUUCUCCACAAUAAAUCACUUCCUGAAGCCACAAGCACUCUCACUAACUGAAGCUACAGAGACGCUGGACGCAGUGGGAGAAGAAGCACAGCAACCUGAUUAAGUCUGGCUGAUAAAGUCCCUGCCAUCAGUGCCCGGUGAACAACAAAACUGAGUGGAACUCUGGAUAAAAAAACUGCAGAGAGAUUCUGCCUUCCCCCCUAUUCAAGAUCGUUGAAUAAAAAACAAGCCCAGGACCAUUAAUUCAAUUCAAAAGCUAUGGGGCGAGGUAGGAGAUGUAGCCGAGGAAAAGGAAAGAGGAGUCAUGACCUCAUGUGUGUUUCCACUGUCGGGAAAAGAGACAUUUAUGAUACGAACUAGUAACACUGACUGGGGUAUGGAUGUGAAGGAUGAUCAUAUUCUUAGCAGUUUUGAAAAGCAAGAUGACUGCUGUACUUGACAGACACAGAUCUCGGGUCUCUGCGGUUGGACUGGGGAAGAAUCCUUAGUUUCAACAGGGUGGUAAGUAAUGAUCUGAAUACCUAACUUGGUUUACGUUCUGGGUGAUUGUUUUGAGCUAGCAAAAUAUUUCACAACACGGGCUA